AUUGAACGCUGGCGGCAGGCCUAACACAUGCAAGUCGAACGGUAACAGGAAACAGCUUGCUGUUUCGCUGACGAGUGGCGGACGGGUGAGUAAUGUCUGGGAAACUGCCUGAUGGAGGGGGAUAACUACUGGAAACGGUAGCUAAUACCGCAUAACGUCGCAAGACCAAAGAGGGGGACCCUCGGGCCUCUUGCCAUCGGAUGUGCCCAGAUGGGAUUAGCUUGUUGGUGGGGUAACGGCUCACCAAGGCGACGAUCCCUAGCUGGUCUGAGAGGAUGACCAGCCACACUGGAACUGAGACACGGUCCAGACUCCCACGGGAGGCAGCAGUGGGGAAUAUUGCACAAUGGGCGCAAGCCUGAUGCAGCCAUGCCGCGUGUAUGAAGAAGGCCUUCGGGUUGUAAAGUACUUUCAGCGGGGAGGAAGGGAGUAAAGUUAAUACCUUUGCUCAUUGACGUUACCCGCAGAAGAAGCACCGGCUAACUCCGUG
rnacentral:rRNA from 1 species